UGUGGCCUGCGGCGUUGGUGAAUGCCAACAAAGUUAUCGAUCUGUACCCCAUGCGAUUGAGGACAUACAACAGCGGACUGUGAGCAAGCCGGGCACCUUCGGUGAUUCUCGGAGCCUCUAAGGUCGGCAAAUUGUUCUCUUCUGGUUUUCCAGAGGUCGCAUACUGAGGUAAAACGGCGUCGCGGGUCAACU
rnacentral:other from 1 species